GUUAUUUUACGGUAGUCUUACUGUUAUUAGUUUUACAGUAUGUUACUGUAAUUUGGUGAUUACUGUGUAUUACUGUAUUUGUUUGCAGUUACGUUAGAUUACUGGCAGCUGGGUUGCUAGUAAUUUACCAUUAAUCUAUUGCAUCCUAACUUUUAUCUACAGCUUUUACUCCUAAAGUACUAUAUACUAAAAUUACAUAUUUCACAGGCCCCAAUAUGUUUUUCCUAUACAGUUUAAAUUGUUGUUGUUAGUUAUAACUUCCAUGCAACAACAUUGUCUAAAAGAAUACACUUGAAAAUGUAAGGUCAAAGUGUGAUCAUUUAUUCAACAAAGGAAGCACCACCAGAAACAUUUGCCAAACAAAUUAACUUUUAAUAAAAAUAAAUAAAGUAAAAAUGACAGCCAUGCUAAAACAAAAUGUCCAUUUAGUUCCUUCAAAAUAUUGUUGAUAUUUGUCAAUUCCAAUUUGAAAUAUAAUGUGUAGAGACAAGAACACUUAUCACUCAGUGAAAUUAAAAACUAAAUAAGAAAAAAAUAGAUGAAAAAAAUUAAAAUGUAACUGUUGCAUUUUCAAUAGAAAAUUGCUCUCUCUUUGCAGAAUUGCAGCAAAUCACAACAUUUUUCAAAUAAAAUAGAAAUAUAUAUAUAUUUUUCGCAUUUAAAGGUAGAAAAAAAAUCAAUGAUUUGGGUCGUCCUUAAAUCCUUUCAAAGCAGGCUUUUACAUUCACCUAUAUAAGUCAGCAUAAAAGAUAAAAUGAAGGCUCUGAAUCUUCUAUAACAUACAUAAUGGUAUGCCACAGUUCUGCUGACCAUAAAUUUACCGAGACAAUUUAAAAUACAAAGUGAACACAUCUUACACAGCAGUAUGAACUUAGCAAUUGGAUAGAAAUAAAGGAUUGUUAUUUGAAAAAACAAAAAUAGAAUAAAUUAAGCAUUUAAAUGCACUUUCUGAAAAAUAAAAGUAUAAAUGGACAAUAUAUGUUUUACCUCUGACUGAAUUCAAGCAUACAGGCAGCCUCUUCCUCAUAUUGUAGGUUAAAAAUGUAGUAUGCAGAAAACAGAGUGGCAAGACCUGCAACAAAUGUUGGCUGAAUUCCCACACAUAUGACGUGACUGUCAACGCUGAUCAUCCAGCAUCCAGCAAUUAAAUGCCCUUUCCCACCUGAAAUUUUAAAUUAAGAACAAUAUAACAGUGGCUUUUAAAAAAUAGUUUAAAACCUUAUAUCCAUAAUUUUAAUUUAGCUUAAACUAUCCAAGUCAUUUUAACGUUAGCAUUUAUUUUAUGCUAUUAGCUCUCCAACCACAUGGUGAGGGAAAUUAAGAUAACCCCAAUUAAACAUAGAAUGUCAAGUUAAAAUAAUCUCAAAAAAUGACAAAGGUUAAAAAACAUUUUGAGUUGAAUUAAAUGACUUUUAACUUACCCAGGGAUGUGUUCAGAAAGUGUAGAUUAAGUUGGAUAUCUGUUGAAAAAUAAAACAUUUGGUUCCACAUGACACAAUGUCUGCUCAAGAAAUAUGGUAAUAUUCUGUUACAGGAGAGCCUUCUAACUGUUGGAUCGGAAAUCUUGAUCACUAUGCAAUACUAUUUACAGUAUUUCAAGAGAAAUAUUGCCCUGAAUGCAUUGUAUUAUAUGGAAUGGUACUGAUUUGAUAAAAAAAAAAAAAGUAUAAUACUUUUCCACUUUCAGUUUUUUUUACAGCAUCUUGGUACAGUGAAGGUGAGCUUUCUCAUAUAAACUGCACUGCAUUAAUUAAAAUGGCCAUAGUUUAAUAAUCUCAGGAAAUGAGACCCAUCCAACUGAGUUCCGGUGUUAUGCUUUAGGACGUCAAAUCAGGACAAAUAUACAAAUAUGUAUGUCAAUGUUUUUCUCAGUAAAUACAUUUCUAAUUGGGCUAUUGACAUGACCUAUCAUUGGAAACAGCUCAAGUACAUAUACAUAUAAAAAUAAAUCAAUAUUAAUUAUUCCAUAAAUAAUCUGGGAAUUGGGAGUGUUCGUUCCUAUGCUUGUCCACCAGAGGUCCACCUGGAGCUUCUUUUAACCAUCUACAGGUGUUGCUGAUCUUCGGCUGAUUGGCCUUACCUGGGAGGAGUACUUAGGAGCCUGCCACCAGUCCUUCAGUACCUGAGUGUUGUUGGUCUAGUGGUAAAAACCAAGCCAGAUUAAUUUUGCCAGUCUGUUUUUGGCUUUUGCUAAUCCUGUUUAUCUUUCCCUGCUUCUUGUUAGAAACUUGUGAGGUGUGGGCUGUUACCUAUGGAGCUGGACUCGGACAUUCUACACCUUCUACUGCUGUUUGUGAAUUUGGUUUAUUCCUCUCUGACUGUGGCACGGUUCCUAACCUUCCUAACACUUGCCUCUGUGAGAACUCUGGACCGAACAUUGGACAAGCUGUUUGGAUUUCCUGACUCCCAAGCCCAGUGGUAUGACCCUCCUGAAUUUCUCUGCUCAAGUGAUCAAUGGACCCGAAGAACCUUCCAACCCUCGUUCCAGUAGAACUCUCCUUGUGUGUUUAAAUAAACCUUUGAAACUUG